GACAGAGGAUGCAAGCGUUAUCCGGAAUGAUUGGGCGUAAAGCGUCUGUAGGUGGCUUUUUAAGUCCGCCGUCAAAUCCCAGGGCUCAACCCUGGACAGGCGGUGGAAACUACCAAGCUGGAGUACGGUAGGGGCAGAGGGAAUUUCCGGUGGAGCGGUGAAAUGCAUAGAUAUCGGGAAGAACACCAACGGCGAAAGCACUCCGCUGGGCUGAUACUGACACUGGACAGACGAAAGCUAGGGUAGCGAAAGGG
rnacentral:rRNA from 1 species